CCACGAUGUCAUCAAAGCGGCGGGAGUCUGGAGGUUGAACAUUGGCUUGGUUAAAAAAUACACCAAGUCAAUCCUGAAAUGCCUGAGCCACCUCCGUGACAAGAGGAUCAUUCAUGGAGACUUCAAGCUGGGCAACAUCUUGGUCAAGGACCCCGUGGCUGGGACCGUGUGGGUAACGGACUUUGGUUGCAGCUUCCAUGAGACUUCUCAAAGGUUAAAGGUAUUCGCUACAUACCAAUACCUGGCUCCAGAGGUUUUCCUUGGAUUGAACUGUGGAAUCAUAGUGAACAUGUGGGCACUCGGCUGUGUGGUGGCAGAGAUGGCCUCGGGAAAGCUCCUCUUCAAGGUCUCUAACUUCAACGACCUGUUCCUGUGCUACAUAGAGGUCCUGGGGGUGCCUCCUCGGUAUGUGUGGGAUAAAGCUCCCUGCAGGGAGCUGCAGGGGAUGGUGAAAUCUGGUCAUGUUUGUGUCCUCAGGACCAUCCGCCACCCAAAAAGCCAAAACAAAUUCAAUGGCCACAUGCACAAGCUUUGAAACGACACACCAAUUAUGGUCGUUUCAGCUCAAUCACUGGGACACAUUGAAGAGAAAUCCUCACAACAACCAAAUUUGCCAACUAGAUAAUGGUGCUGCGCUAGACACUGCACCAAACAUAUCCAGAACAUGAGGUCAUAAGUCAGAACAAAAUUCAGGAAGUCGCCAUCAAACGAUUAAACAACACGUCAUGACCAAUUGUUUUGUUUGGCUGCGUUGGGUGGUGGAGGGUAUUACGACACAAAAUUGGACAUCUUGGCCAGAUGGAAAAAAAUAUUCCCACCACCCAUGCCUUAGUAUACCUAAUGCACCAUUGUGAUUCACGUUGGUUGUUUGGGUUAUAGGUUUUAAAUGGUAAAAAUAUGAUUUGUGAAGUCAAAUGAAAGUUAUUAAAACCCAUCUAUUGAUCCUAUAGGGUUUAACAUAAUAGUUAAUAAAAAUGUCGCGUAUUUAGUAUGUGCGUUCUUCCGAAAGUGCACAGCUAUGUAUAUACGUUGAAUUUCUUUCACACCAUACAAAGCCAACAGUGCUAAUCGAAUAAUCGAAGGUUCGGGAAAUCACAGACUAAGUAAGCAGUAAUGGCAAGUCAGGAUUAAUGUCGCCAUGUCUCAUCCCAAUUAAGUCAUUGUCAGUGUACAUUUUCUAAUUCGGACCAUGACGUUGGCACACAACGGUCUACUCCUUUGGAGUGAUGUUAUGGGGGUAUUUAACUGGCACUUGCAAAUCAAACGGCUCAAUAUAUUUCAUGGUAAAAAUUCAUACCGCAGUAAAAACCCAGGGUGGUGUGGCGGAUCCCAACCCUGCGUGUUGUGUAUAUACCCCCUUUUUAUUUUUUUUAUAUUAUUUUUUUUUUAAGAAUUAUUCUGCCAACAUAUAUAAUAUCGUUUUUUUUAAUAGACACGCGGCAACGUGGGAACAGACACGCCCCCACACUUCCACAGAUGCACAUACCUCAUCUCAAAAGACUAGAGGGCAUGAAAGAGGGCAAUAAAGGUAAUAAAAACUCCCCUAAUUUCACACAAGAGGAACAAGGGAGGGGGGAAUGGCAGGCGGAGGGUCAGGAGGACAUCCUUUUGUUAGAAAGCCUCACAAAACCAGGCACCACGCAGGAAGAGAUAAUUAUAUUCUUAACAAAGAAACAGCAUUGACGACAAAAAGCACAGACGGGUUUUUAAACCAUGUUAGAUACACAAAGUUACCAACUUAGCCAUGAAGAUUAAGCAAACAGUAUCUAUCCUCACUCCAAUUGGAAACCAGACUACAGUCUGCACCAGAAUCGCGACCCAUCAUUGUUAAUUAAAUACUGACAUUAUUUACCUUUAAAGAAUUUCUACACGGCCGGGCCGAAGCAUCAAAUAAUAAUUAUGGCAUCUAUUUCGCUCCAAAACAACAUUCCUAGCCGGGAUAUCAGAUUAAAUAAUCACAAGAAGUCAAAUAAUAAGUACGGAAUUAAAGUGGAUCUCCUAGAGGAGCUAAGGGCGGAAAAGUCUCUCAUAAUUAACCAAACGCAACACCCCAUGAGAAGCGAGCAACACGGCCGUCUUUGUCUUUCCGAGAGGAUCUCCACACGCAGGCACAAAGCCAGGAUAUGACACCAAUAAAGGUUGGGGCAAUGGCUCAAAGGAAAUUAACACACGUCUUCGAAUAAAUAAUUAAAUAAAUAAGGGCAUGCGCCGGGUGCUUCCACCGUGGAAACAACCGUCUUUGUCUCCCCGCAACACGGACAGCAAAUUGCACACGCGAGCAAAUAACAUUUCCAUGGGAGAUCGGGUCACGAUGAAACAUCGUGAACACGGUUUCGGCAUAACUUGGGCAUAAUGGAACCAAGCAGCAAAUAAGUAGCAUUUCAACUUCCAAACCAAAACAACUUAAGCUGUGUGAGACAAAAGAUAUGAUCUCCGAGCAAGGGAGGGAAUAAUUAAGCUCGCUUAACGCGUAGGUUUUCGCGACAAAUAUUAUUCAGUAACAAAAACAUGGAUUCGAAUACUUUUUUUAUAUAUAACUCAAUGCGAACGCGAAUCAUCGGUCUGGUUAAUGGAUAACUUAGGUGGCGCCGUCACGAGGCCCCCCCCCCCCCACCCCUUCUUCCAGAACGACACACAGCUGUGUCUUCAAAGCUAAUAAACACACGGACGGACACGCACACGACACACACACGGACGCAGAUGGUUCACCCCCACAGGAAUGUUUUAUGACACAGCCUUUUGAACAACUCGGGAAACUGAGUGGAAUUUCCAAUAUAAACCGAGGAAAAAUCCAUCCAAAGAAGAUCGUCAGGGGGCUCUAGGCCCCAUCUCGUCGCCAGGGCUUCGGCUCCACCACAGAUCAUCAAGGGCUCCGGCUCCACCAAAUCUCGUCAGGGGCUCUGGCCCCCAUCUCGUCAAGGGCUCCAGCUCCACCACCUCUCGUCACCGCCAACGAAGAAGUUUUUCGUCAUCCAGAAUGACGAGGUUCGCGGGGUAGCGACGUGCAGCAACAAGCCGAGGUCUGCACCACCUGAGAAGAAUCACUACCCUGAGUCGCCGAGCUGCGAGUGAAGCCACAACAAAGACGCCAACGUCCACCCUGCCACGAACGAAGCAUCGCUCCUCGUCAGAGUGACGACCAGCGAACAACCCGCAGGAAAGGCGGAGAUCGCCAAGCGAGCAAAGCAGAGAGCGCAAAGCAGUGGAGAAAGCCUGGUCAGCCGGCUGUGAGGAGGAGGACAGCGCUGUUGAAUGCGCCGUGUGUCUAAUACACACCCAGAUCAACCAGCAUCAACCAAAACCGACUCGUCAUCCCGCAGUGGAGAAAGAGAGUCAAAGUCUUCCGAACGAGCGCCGCCGUCAGAGCUGCAGAGAGGUGCCAUCGCGCCGUCAGCUACCGAGCGCCGCCAAGCGCCGCCGCUCACCUCGCAGCGGAGAAAGUCUCGGCUGCAAUCCGCACGGGCUGUGAGGAAAUCUCCAAACAGGGUCGUAUUGUUUCCACACGCAUAGGCUCAAGGAAGCACAGAUAAUAUCUUGUCAAACCGGUUUCUUUGUCAGAGUCUCGCCAAAGAAUUAAUUAAAACAGAGCCAGAUCCGCUCUCAUACCACACACACGCCUCACCCACCAUUGACUCAAACAUUCUGUUAAAAGGAUUUUAUACUUGCCGAUGAAUCUAUUGACAUACUUUCGCCUCUGGGAUACAAUAAGUGCUUUAUUACCGCCAUAUGAAGUGUGUCAUGCUUGUUUUCAAACUCGGCCAGUCGCCGAUUGUGAUUGCAUAAUCUUGCUCAUGAAUUAUUGACGCAUGUGUGACCUGCAUGAUAGAAUGUCACAUGCUUGUUAGAAUAAAAUUGUUAUCACAGAAGCAUAUCGAGUGUUCCUUCCAAGUCCAUGCAAAACUGUCUUAUUCUUGAGUACUGUAUCCUGUGAUGAGAUCUGAAACUGGAGACCUAAAAUAUCAUAACACACACUAGGAUAAUCGGUAAAUGACUCUAUGAUAAUCGUGUUAUCCUGAUUGAUAUAACUCUGGAUAAACGAAGCUGAGCCUAAUUAUCAUAACUACACACAUUAACAUAAUCGCAAGCAUCCGCAUAAAUUACUACGAUUAUAUCCGUGAUUAUCAUAAUUUAUGCAUAUAAUUACACGCAGUAUCAUAAUUUAUGCAUAUUAAUACCUACAUUAACAUAAUUAAUGCGAUUUGCGCAUUUUUUGGAAAAUUAUUUAUUUGUCUUAUUUUCAUCAAAAAUUCAUAACCCAACAUAUACAACAUGCGCCAAGUCAUCAUGCUACGUUUUUUGCGUUUCUGCGGUGGUAGCUGUGCGAGGCCGACGUGGUUUGUGACAGUGUUCCUCCUGCAUCUCGUCAUUCCCACAGACGGCUCGAGGAUACCUGGGAAUGAGAGAAUAUUCUCAGGGAGCUACCCACUCAACGAGGUGCUCGCCGCCUGUGACCCCACCUUGGUAGAUUUUGUCUCCAGCUGCCUACGGUGGCAUCCGGCCGAGCGCCUGACACCUGAACAGGCGCUGGCACACAGCUGGCUGCAGGAACCAGGGUCAGCCAUCUCCAGGACGACUACCACCACAAUCACGACCACCAUGACCAUCGCCGCUAUCACGACCACCACCACCAUGCUGCUCUCCCCACUCGCCGUGACCUCAGAGGAACAGGAGGACAAGGAGAUGGUGGAGCAGGAGAUGGAGGCAGUGGAGCAGGAGACAGAGUUGGUGUGUAAGAGGAAGAAGAGGUCGCAUCUGGCCCGUGCAUCAAGAGCAAUCGGCUUAUUCUUCUGCCGUGUGCUGCUCUGUGAGGGCGAGCGUCCACCACAAAGUAGCUGCGAGUGGUGGAGGCAGUCGGGGGGGGGGGGGGGGCGGACGAUGGACAUGUCUUGGUGUAAACACCACGACCAUUGGCACAUGCACACACCACGCACACCACACACACCACAUACACCACACACAUCACACACAUCACACUAUAUACACUACACACUAUACACACUCUAUGCACACACAACACACACACUCUACACACACAACACACACACUCUACACACAAUCUAAACACACACACUCUGCACACACACUCUGCACACACACUCUACACACACACACUCGACAUACACUCGACACACACAUACCACACACACCACACACGGAGCUAGCCCAGUAUCAUAGACGGCCCCAUCCCGGGCCCUUUCAUGCUGGUUUUCAUCCUGGCAGUCCUCAGAGGAUGACCUGGCCACGGUUUCGAGGACAUGGAAGGGGCAGCUGAUUCGGGCUGUGAGAGCUGGAGGUGGCCUGUUGGUGUAGAUACGGACGAAGCCAAACAUGGCAAGUCCCAAGGCCACUCGUUAGGAGUUAUGAUCAAUCUGAUAAGUGGUAUUAUUGUUGUACAGGA